CCAGAUGGCAGCACAGGCAUAUGGCUUCGGUGCAACUACCGGUGGAUGGUGUUGGUGCUGCGGUGGAUGUUGGUGGCGACUCGUUAGGAGGCGACUGUUUCGGGUGGUGGUGAGGCAAGCUUAUGGAGAGAUCGAGGUCGAGGUCGAGGUCGAGGUCGAGGUCGAGGUCGAGGUCUUGGUCUUGAUCUUCGUGGUGGCGGCUGGCGUCGCUGCUCAUGCGGCCGUCGUCGGUGGAGUCGGCCGUAGACUUUGCGGCAGCGGCUGCUGUUUCUUGUGGCAGGGGAAUGAGGAAGUCUUGGUGUUGGUGUA
rnacentral:lncRNA from 1 species